UGCCAGUCUCUACUACUGCCUCAAAAGAAGAAACCAAGUCUGCCUUGUGCUCUGAGACCAGAGAAGACAUCCAUCUCUCUGGGCUUGCAGAAGAAGACAGAAAAAAACCAGCGGAAGCAACUGAACUUAUUGAUAAAGUACAAAAUGAAAUAGACUUAAUGAACAAGCCAGUGAGGAGAUUUUGAAGCUAGAAAAAGAAAUAUGGCAAACUCCGCCAACCAUUUUUUCCAAAGAGAUCAGAGUUGAUUGCCAAAAUCCCAAAUUUUGGGGUAACAAUAUUUGUCAACCAUCCACAAGUGUUUACACUGCUUAGGGAGGAGGAUAAAGAGGCACUGCAUUAUUUGACCAGAGUUGAAUUGACAGAAUAUGAAGAUAUUUAUUAGAUUACAGAAUAGAUGUUUGUUUUGAUGAAAAUUCUUACUAUGAAAAUAAAGUUCUCCAAAGAAUUUCACCUGAAUGAGAGUGGUGAUCCAUCUUCAAAGUCCACUGCAAUCAAAUGGAAAUCUGGAGGGGAUUUGAUAAAGCAUUCAAGUCAGACACAGAAUACAGCCAGAGUGAGGAAUUGGAGAGCUUUUUUACCUGGUUCACUGAUCAUUCUGAUGCGGGUGCUGGAGAGUUAGGAGAGGUCAUCAAAGAUGAUAUUUGGCCAAACUCAUUACAGCUCUACUUGGUUCCUGAUACGGAUGAUAAAGAAAAAGAAGAAGAUGAUGA
rnacentral:lncRNA from 10 species